CUACGGGGUGCAGCAGUGGGGAAUAUUGCACAAUGGGCGCAAGCCUGAUGCAGCCAUGCCGCGUGUAUGAAGAAGGCCUUCGGGUUGUAAAGUACUUUCAGCGGGGAGGAAGGGAGUAAAGUUAAUACCUUUGCUCAUUGACGUUACCCGCAGAAGAAGCACCGGCUAACUCCGUGCCAGCAGCCGCGGUAAUACGGAGGGUGCAAGCGUUAAUCGGAAUUACUGGGCGUAAAGCGCACGCAGGCGGUUUGUUAAGUCAGAUGUGAAAUCCCCGGGCUCAACCUGGGAACUGCAUCUGAUACUGGCAAGCUUGAGUCUCGUAGAGGGGGGUAGAAUUCCAGGUGUAGCGGUGAAAUGCGUAGAGAUCUGGAGGAAUACCGGUGGCGAAGGCGACCCCCUGGACGAAGACUGGCGCUCAGGUGCGAAAGCGUGGGGAGCAAACAGGAUUAGAUACCCGGGUAGUC
rnacentral:rRNA from 1 species